GGUGUGAGCCACUGCGCCCGGCCUAAGUUCCAUGCUGAGUUAAUUUUUGUAUGAGGUGAGAGAUAUAGGUUGAGGUUCACUUUUUUGCCUAUUGAGGCCCCACUGUGCCAGCACCCUUUGUUGAAAAGCCUCUCCUUCCUCCACUGAAUUGCUUUGGUAUCUUUGUCAAAAAUCAAAAGGCUGUAGCUGUGUGGGUCUCGCUCCACAGUCUCCAUUUCGCUCCAUCCGUGUUUCUCUUCCUCCAUGAGCACCACGUAGUCUGAUGACUGUAGCUAUUCAACAAGCCAUGACGCUGGGUAGAGCGAUUUCUCUAAUUCUUUUUUCCAAAACAUUCUAGUCAUUUGAGGUCCUUUACGCACAUACACACACAUAUAGUACCUUGUUUAUGACCACAAAAAGACAUACUGGGAUUUUGAUAGGAAUUACAUGACAUCUGUAGAUCAAUUUUGGGAGAAUGGACAUUCCCGGUAUUUUGUGAAUUUUGUCACACAGAUCUGGUACAUGUUUUGCUAAAUGUAUAUCGAAGUACUUUUUCCUUAAAGUGACAGGGGUGCUGUUGUGCUUUUAACCUGGGUUUCCACAUGUUCAUGUUCGUGUAGAGAAAUGCAGUUGAUUUAUACGUGCUUCUCGCUUAUUUUCAUUCCUCUCCUUUGCUUUCUGUUGGGCACAUCAAGUUUUCUUCUGUUGGUUUAAAAGUUGUAUUUUUGUUCUUGUUUUGUUUGCCCUCAGGGCCAUUUCCAGGACUUGAAAUGUUUGUUUGCUUUUCUAAUUUUCCCCGGUUUCCCCAGGCAGCAGGUCGGUGGAUCUCCCAACACUGUCAUGCCAGAGGUGCUCUAGGCCAUGCAGGGUCACCAUCCUGACAGCAGCCCACCCGGAAAUCUUCAGCAGAGGCGAAGACUUCCAGUCCUCUGUCAUUCUUUCAGUCCGUCACCUCCACUGAGACUGUGGUGGGCACUGGCCCUGUGCCAUUCGGCGGGUGCUUCCAGCCCCGGGCGCGGUUUGCUCCCAUUUCCAGGCAGCCCCACCUAUUCCUCCCCCAGGCCUGGGCAGAGGGCCUGAAGAAGGUUCACCCGGAGACUGUGCACCCACACGUCCCAGGCACUGGCGCGGAGCCACCUGUCUAUGCCGUGGAACCCUAUCAACGGUGACUUUUCCUGCCAGAAGGAGUGGCCAACAGGUGUCAAUCCCAAAGAGGUAGGAUGCUGGUUGGUUUUCAGGAGUCACGGAGCCGUGAGACCAGAGAAGGAAUGGGCAGCAGGGAAGCCCGAGACCCCUGGAAACCCCAGACACAGACCAGAGCCACAAAGGAACGUGGAGCAAAGGUAGCUGGAGAGACCCCAGGGGCAGUGAGACCCAGAGAGGAGGACCCCCAGAACACGGCACUGCCAGGGAGGACAGGGCCGGGUCCCACCUGAGAGAGAAGGUCCUCUCAGUCCAGACUGAUGGUUCCCUGGGAAGAGCACCUGGGAAUUCUAAGCCAAGCCCCACGGGGGGCCACUGGCCAUAGAUUAUGCUGUAGGAAAUGUGAAUUUGGCCUUUCUCAAUAUGCUUUGCCUUCUUUUUGGCAUAAAGAGUUGAGCCAGACCCCCCCUCCAGAAAUUGCCAUAGAUCGGGGCCAAUGCAUAGGUGCCCCCAGCCUGCUAGGGAAGCAGCUUGUGGCUUUGGCAGAUGCUAGGGCUCCCUCUGUACAGCUCCAUCCCUGUCAGUCUGUGGGAGGCACAGCCCUGAGGCCAGGCCUUGCUGGUCUCUGCACCCAAGGGUGCUGAGGCCCACACAGCCUGCUCCUCAUGAGUGGGAGUGGAGAGGUGAAGGUCUGUGUAGCCCCUCACAAACAUGUGUGUGCAGGUACCUGUGCCCAGAUUCGAAGAGGGCACCAGAGAACCCCCUACUGCAAAAUACUGGGUGUACAUGGGUGGGCAGGGUGGGGGCACAUAGGCCUCUUCCCCCCAAACACCUUCUGUGGAGCUCAAGAAGCCUCUUGCUUAAGCACCUGGGGAGCGGGGUCCCCCAAACCUGAACAGCCUGCCUGGUCCCCCUACCCAGGCCUCUGGCAGCCCCCUUCUGCCUGGCUCCAGCCCAUACCAAGCCUGACAAGGAGCUUCUUGGACUCAUCCAUGCAGUGGGCCGCUGUCAGCACCCAGGAGGGGUGGAUGAGCACUGCCCCGCAGGCCAGCUUCUUCUUUGAGUCCAGCAGGACCACCUGGAAUGGGGUGGGAUGAUGACAUCACAGGGCUGCCUCCUGACAGCCUCCAGUCCAGGGCACCUGGGUUUCAUAUGCACUUUCCUGGGUUCCCUGGUCAUAUGGGCAUAGGCUUAGGCCCUUUCUGGCGUUUUCUAUUUUUGCCCAUUUUACAGUGUCAGCCUGUCCCAGGGUGUCUUCCUGCCUUUGCCCAUGCUGUUCCUGCACUGUUCAUACUGUUUCAGUCACCCUCAGCCACACCCAACAUCGCCCAGCGAGCUCCUCUCAUCCUUAGAGGCUUGGCCAGGCCUUGUGUCUUCCAGGAAGACUUUGUGGCCCCCAGGCUGCCUGGAUGUUCCCCUUGGGCCUCCCUCAGCCCCUAUCUUGAAGGGCCGUCCUGGCUGUGGUCCCACUGGGCUGCCGGGUCUUUGGGGUCCUGACCCUUGCAGAGUCUGAGUCCCCAGGGCAAAUACUCCCACUUGUUGGUUCCUAUCUCCCCCAUGCCUGGCAGAGAGGGGAACCCAGUAAGUGUCAGUUCCCAUGUGGAGGCUGGAGGGGUACUCAGGCCCGGCCCUCCCUCCUAGCCCUCUCCCAUCAGCAGGGCUUCUGCCUAAAAUCCCGCCAGCAGAGCAGUGUCUUUCCAGCUCUUUUUAGAAACUGUAACCCUCCCUCCUGCAGACCCCUCCAUGCCCCCAUGCCCCUCCCCUCACCCACCCUGGCUGCUCCUCUCCCCUCAGGUUGCGUCCAUCUUUCCCUGAAGCAUCCCCCACCUUCAUCAUCCCCCAAACGCAAUGGCAGCGCUUCCCUCUCGGUUUCUGCACCCUGAGCAUAGCUGCCAGGAUGGACUCAGUGAUCCCGGACCCAGCACGUGAGCAGCCGGUGCUGCCUCGCCUCCCACCUGCCAGGGGCUGUCUCCCCGCCUGGUCAUCUUCCCAUCAAUGAGCCGCGGAUCUACUUGGUCUUCUUGGUCUUCUGUGUCUCGUUUCAGGUGACUGCGCUUCUUCUCCAUCCGCUUCCAGGGCCUCCCACAAGGGAACUUCACUGAGGUAGGCAGAGGUGGUGAGGGGCCUGCCAGGCACUCCUCCCGAGACUGCCCUCCUGUCUUGGUCCUCCUCCAGCCUGUGGGCCACUUUGCCACAGUGCAGGGUUCAAGGAACCAAUGAUACUUAGACCACUCCAUUAAUAUUAGCUAUGAACCCCCUCCAGUCAGCCAGUCAGUCAGUCAGUCAGUCAACAAACAGUGCCACUGAAUGGUAAGAGUCAGACCAGGCAGCAUCACCCACUGGCUGUGUGUCCUUACAUAGGUUGUUAAACUUCUUGAAGGCUCAUUGUACCCCAGGGCUGUUGGGGGUAAUCCCUGAGAUACAAAUUACAAACCCCCUCCAGUCAGUCAGUCAGUCAGUCAACAAACAGUACCACCCAAUGGCAAGAGUCAGGCCAGGCAGCAUCGCCCACUGCCUGUGUCUCCUUACAUAGGUGGUUAAACUUCUUAAAAGCUCAUUGUACCCCAGGGCUGUUGGGGGUGAUCCCUGGGAUUAGUAAGGUCUCAUAAUGGGAUGCUGCUGAGCUCCUCACAGAGGAAAGGAAUUACAGGGAGAAGGAGGUGAGCAUUCUUGGAGAGCUCCUACAAUAGGCAUGGCAUGUUUGUGAGGCCUCCCUGCCAAGAAGAGAGCGCAUACUCCAUGGAGAACUGAGGGCUGAAAGGUCGGCCCGACUCUGCUCAAAAUGGGCCUUGAAUGCCCAGUCCAGAUAUCUAGACUUAAAAGAGCAAUGGGACGUCGUCAGCAGGGGAGCUGCAUCAUAACAAAAGAAUGGAAAGGGCACAACAGCAACAAUUCCAGAAGCUGACAGCAGAUGGAUGGACACAGUAACUGACUUGGCAGACUGGAAAGCAAAAAUCUCAGCCCGUGAUGGGGGCGCCCAGAAGCUGAAGGACUGGACCACGGAACCAUAGGAGGCUGUGGGGCUUCCAGGAAGGCAGUGCAGGUGGGAGGGCAUGUUGAGAGUUUGUAAGAGAAACUGCGAAAGCCCUCCUCACUGACUUGACUCCCCUCUCCCUGCCUGCAGAAGGUGAACCAGAGGCUCUGACUAGGGACUUCAGGCCCCGCUUCAGGAAGGAGUGGUGCUCUUAGCUGACCACAGGGAGUCAUGCAAAUGUCCACAGCCUGCACAGGCACCAGCUCCCCUGCCCCACCCUGCUCUGAGGGGCCGAACACCAUGGGUGAGCGUCUUCCAUCCUCCAAGAGCUUGGAGGAGUCCUCUUAGAAAGCAGCCUAAAAGGAAAGCCCUCACGAUCUGGGGUUCUGCCAAUGACAGGGCCUUCCCAAGGCCUUGCAGGAAACCCACAGGCCAACAGGCCCACCAGGCAUUUCUUUGCAGCUUCCUGGAAAUAUCUAAUUAUUUCAAAAUAAAAAGUUAAAUUUUUA